UGCCAGCAGCCGCGGUAAUACGGAGGGGGCUAGCGUUAUUCGGAAUUACUGGGCGUAAAGCGCGCGUAGGCGGAUUAGUAAGUCAGUGGUGAAAGCCCGGGGCUCAACCCCGGAACUGCCUUUGAUACUGCUAGUCUUGAGUUCGAGAGAGGUGAGUGGAAUUUCUAGUGUAGAGGUGAAAUUCGUAGAUAUUAGAAAGAACACCAGUGGCGAAGGCGGCUCACUGGCUCGAUACUGACGCUGAGGUGCGAAAGCGUGGGGAGCAAACAGGAUUAGAUA
rnacentral:rRNA from 1 species